rfam:Medicago truncatula strain A17 chromosome 4, whole genome shotgun sequence.
UUGGUUUAAAUCAUUGUAGGUCUACACUUUAAAAAUUGAAUCCAAACAAAAUGGUGGGACAUACAUUGAUUACAUCCAA